AGCAAGGUCAGCUAAAUAAGCUUUUGGGCCCAUACCCCAAACAUGUUGGUUAGAAUCCUUCCCUUGCUA
rnacentral:tRNA from 1 species